GACAUAUUCAGAACAUGGCAGCUUCUAGAAUUGGUUCAAUCUUCUGCUCGAGUGGCAGUGGCCAAAGGCCUGGAGCCGACCAAGGAGAGGUUAUCUAGGUAAGAAUCAUCAGUGGCUGAUCAUCCCUCAAAGACAAACAACUAGACAAGAUGUGGCUCCUGAUGGAAGAACGCAGGCCACCACCUACAAAGCACCCUGGCUGCCUCCCUCCCCCAGGAAACAAGGCAUGAAGAGAAAACCAACCUCUCCUUUCUGGUUGAUGAUGGGAACAGCGUAUUGUAACUUCACAUCAUAGAAAAGUGACUCGAGGAAGACAUUGGCCACCCCAAUGAGACUGUGAUUUUCCUGCUCAUCAUAGAAUGGAUCAGCACGUUUGAAGUAUGAUCGUAUUACCUGUAAAGAGAUUGAGAACACACAACUUCAGAAAAACCAUUUACAAUAAAUGCAUUCAACCUAC
rnacentral:lncRNA from 10 species